UUUUUUUUUUUUUUUUUUUUAAAAAAAACCCAAUUCACCUAAUAGGGGAGUGGCGCCAUCAAAUGGGGGUGUUAGGGGAGUUUAAGAGGGGAGUUGACGUGGCACACGGGGAUUGGUUUGACGUAAGAGAGGGGACUCACCUAUUAGGUGAGCACCCCCUUCACCCUAAUAUCAAGAAGUAGACCUUAUCCUUCAACACCCUCUCUCUCGAUAACACUUACAGGCCUCUCAUCUCUCUCGAUCUACACAGCCAAACACCCACUAGUCUCCUCCAUUGUUAUACCUUCCACACACACACAAACUCACUACCAACCCCCCCCCCUUUUGCGAUCCGUGUGACGGCCGACCGCCGCCACCAUCGUCUGGUGGUGGCACGAUGACGAGACAAAAUAGAGUAGAUCAUAGGAGAGAGAGAGAGACUUGUCGGAGAGAAGGGCUGCGAGGAGAGAGAAGUGAACAAGAGAGAAAGACCUGUGGUCGACAACAGCGGUAAAGCCGCCGGAAUUGACGACAGCGACGCCGUCGUAGGCGGCGGCGACAUUGGCGGACUCUGUUUCUUCUCCGACACACUCCCGUUCAGGUUUGUUCAAGAUCUUAUGGGUUUUGUGAGGCUCGUGUCUCGGUUCGGUUCAACAUCAGGCUCAGGUUCUGUCCGGGUUUUGUUUCUGGUCACCUCCGGAUUCACUGUGGUUCAGUUUCAGGUUCGGGUCGCGCAUCGGGUUCUCGGUUUGGUCAACAAAAGUCAAACAGGGUAAGACUCAGUUUCGAGUCAGCAGGUUCGAGUCUCGGGUCAGUUUCGGAUGUCGGUCAGCCGCGGUCGAAGUAAGAUCAAGUCAAUCAGAUUUGAGGUUCGGUGCAGUUUGGAUUGACUCGGUCAACCGAGUCAACUCAGUCAAAGCGAGUCAACUCAGUUGACUCAGUCAACGUUUUGACGCGAAGACCUAGUAACGAGAUUUAAACAACGCGUUAGAUUUUAUAUAUACAUUAGUUUAGAUUAUUUUUUACUACGCGAAUCGAGCUCGACCGAUACUUUUGGCGACUACUUAUACUUUACUUUGCCAUGUUUGAUAAAAUUUUGGUAUAUAUUGGUUGCAUUGAUCGAA